rnacentral:rRNA from 1 species
CAAAUGUAUGUUGACGUAUUCUGAAAGGGAUACUUCUUCGGACAAUAUACAAGGUGCUGCAUGGUUGUCGUCAGCUCGUGCCGUGAGGUGUCGGGUUAAGUCCCAUAACGAGCGCAACCCCUAUCAUUAGUUGCCAUCAGGUCAAGCUGGGGACUCUAAUGAAACUGCCUACGCAAGUAGUGAGGAAGGUGGGGAUGACGUCAAAUCAGCACGGCCCUUACGUCCAGGGCUACACACGUGCUACAAUGGCCGGUACAAAGGGCAGCUACCUGGUGACAGGAUGCUAAUCUCAAAAGCCGGUCUCAGUUCGGAUCGGAGUCUGCAACCCGACUCCGUGAAGCUGGAAUCGCUAGUAAUCCGCGCAUACCAGACCAUGGCGCGGUGAAUACGUUCCGGCUU